GGCCCUUCCCCCAUCAGACACUUUUCCAGGAAAUAGCUUUUUGCUGCCAUGACCUCUUUUGCUGCUGUUUGAUAUCCUUGAUAUGAAAAAUGUGAAUGGAGACGAGCACCCCAUUAACCAGCAGCUCUUAGGCAGCAUUGCUUGUUGGAGGUAUCUUUUCACAGAGAUGCCAUUUGGAGUAGCUACUUUGAGGACAAGAGACAAAAAGCCUGAGGAGAAAGUCACCAUGAAGGAAACAGAAAGAUUAAACAGCAUGCGUGAUCUUUGAUUCAGAGUCCCCAUCUCACCCUGGACUGCCUUCCUUUGGAAUUCCCUUGUGGAAAAAAAAAUUAAACUCUUAUUUGGUUAAAUAAUUGUGACAUCUGAGCUGAGACUUGAAUGAAGAAAAGCUGUCCAUGUAAAGAUCUGGGAGCAGAAGGAUCCAGGCAGAGGAAAUGGAAAGUACAAGGGGCUGGAUGAGAGAACAAGCUUGGCUUGUUCGCAAAACAGAGAGACCCGUGUCUUCAUCAUGGAGCACCUCUUCUCCUCUCUCC
rnacentral:lncRNA from 1 species